GACGAACGCUGGCGGCGUGCUUAACACAUGCAAGUCGAACGGAAAGGCCCCUUCGGGGGUGCUCGAGUGGCGAACGGGUGAGUAACACGUGGGUGAUCUGCCCUGCACUUUGGGAUAAGCCUGGGAAACUGGGUCUAAUACCGGAUAGGACUACGCACUGCAUGGUGUGUGGUGGAAAGCGUUUGCGGUGUGGGAUGGGCCCGCGGCCUAUCAGCUUGUUGGUGGGGUGAUGGCCUACCAAGGCGACGACGGGUAGCCGGCCUGAGAGGGUGUCCGGCCACACUGGGACUGAGAUACGGCCCAGACUCCUACGGGAGGCAGCAGUGGGGAAUAUUGCACAAUGGGCGCAAGCCUGAUGCAGCGACGCCGCGUGAGGGAUGACGGCCUUCGGGUUGUAAACCUCUUUCAAUAGGGACGAAGCGGAAGUGACGGUACCUAUAGAAGAAGCACCGGCCAACUACGUGCCAGCAGCCGCGGUAAUACGUAGGGUGCGAGCGUUGUCCGGAAUUACUGGGCGUAAAGAGCUCGUAGGUGGUUUGUCGCGUUGUUCGUGAAAACUCACAGCUUAACUGUGGGCGUGCGGGCGAUACGGGCAGACUGGAGUACUGCAGGGGAGACUGGAAUUCCUGGUGUAGCGGUGGAAUGCGCAGAUAUCAGGAGGAACACCGGUGGCGAAGGCGGGUCUCUGGGCAGUAACUGACGCUGAGGAGCGAAAGCGUGGGGAGCGAACAGGAUUAGAUACCCUGGUAGUCCACGCCGUAAACGGUGGGUACUAGGUGUGGGUUUCCUUCCUUGGGAUCCGUGCCGUAGCUAACGCAUUAAGUACCCCGCCUGGGGAGUACGGCCGCAAGGCUAAAACUCAAAGGAAUUGACGGGGGCCCGCACAAGCGGCGGAGCAUGUGGAUUAAUUCGAUGCAACGCGAAGAACCUUACCUGGGUUUGACAUGCACAGGACGUGCCUAGAGAUAGGUAUUCCCUUGUGGCCUGUGUGCAGGUGGUGCAUGGCUGUCGUCAGCUCGUGUCGUGAGAUGUUGGGUUAAGUCCCGCAACGAGCGCAACCCUUGUCUCAUGUUGCCAGCACGUGAUGGUGGGGACUCGUGAGAGACUGCCGGGGUCAACUCGGAGGAAGGUGGGGAUGACGUCAAGUCAUCAUGCCCCUUAUGUCCAGGGCUUCACACAUGCUACAAUGGCCGGUACAAAGGGCUGCGAUGCCGUGAGGUGGAGCGAAUCCUUUCAAAGCCGGUCUCAGUUCGGAUCGGGGUCUGCAACUCGACCCCGUGAAGUCGGAGUCGCUAGUAAUCGCAGAUCAGCAACGCUGCGGUGAAUACGUUCCCGGGCCUUGUACACACCGC
rnacentral:rRNA from 1 species